GUCAAAAAUUUCAAGGCAAAAAGGCUGGACGAUCCAUGUUUGAUGACAUUCUCAUAUUUAGUCAAUUAGCCAUUUUUUCCCUUUGUAUACAGAAUAUUCCUAAGCAAGGUAUCGAUUAUAGUUGAUAAUAUAUUACGCAAUGCUGUUUGAUUGAAGUUAAAAUCAUUUCUUAAAGACUAUGUUCAUCGAAUAUUUGCGUCCUGAUGAUUCAUAAUAUUCAUUAUUCCUUCUGUUGUUCGAAUGUUUGACCUGUUUGUUUACUAUACCUUUUAAUAGGAAAUAUCUUAAUUGUUUAUCUAUUCAUUGAUUAAAAUAAUUUUUUAUUCAUUUAUUUAUUUAUUCCUUCGUAUCGGGGACCCUCAAAAAUACUCCUCUCUUGUUUCACUUCCAUCUGAAGUAUCCUUUGAAAAACCACUCUUCUCUCUCUGGCCAAUGGGCUUGUCUCUUACAAACCCUCCAGCCAAUAGGAGAAGCGAACAAAAUUCAGUCCUUUUCUUCUUUCGUUGGAAGUCUCUGAUUGAUUGAGAAGAAUUCUUCGUAGAUUUCGGAGCUCGUUUUCUGUCACUCUCCUCAAAAUAUCUACAGGAUCCGUGGUUUGAAGGUUGUUGUUCAAGAAGGCAAAAGACUGCUGUUGAUUACCCUGCUCCAAAAUACUCUUCUCAGAAUACGCUAAGAUAAAAGGUUGAAAGGAAGAGUGAAGUGGAGAAGGGCAGUCUCCCCCCACCCCCACUAAAGAAAAAAAAAAAACUCGGGUUCCAGUAUGUUUACGCCUGCCGAAGAUCUUGAGGUCUCGAGUGGAAUACCAUUAUGAAAUUAAUUCUUGGAUAUGAAGAAUGGCGAAAUGUUUUUGAUAGUGAAUAAACAUCGGCUGAAGAGGUAGGAAGUAUCCUGGUAACGUCUGUUUCGGUAAAGAUGGAGGAAGUUACGUAAAGCCUUAGGAAUAACAAACUUGAAAAGACUUAAUCGAAAAAUGUCUUGCAAGAAGUGAGCUGCUACCGAGGAAAUGGCUGAUUGCAAGAACAUUUGGAGCAAGCUACUUAUAAGAGCGCAUAAUGCAAUGUCAGGAGGCGUCAGACCAGAAGGGCGCUGCUGCUGUUUAUAGGGUGAACUUCCAGGAAGUUGACAGAAAUGGAGUAGGGCUGUUAGAGGUAAGACAUGUUAAGCUGCAGUCCAGAGAGAAGCAAUUUAGCAAGACAGGAAAAGCAGCAACUGAGUGAUAGCAAAGAGGAGGGAAGGCACGAGAAGUAACAGCCUGGAGUUGAGAGGGUUGCGCAAAGAAGAGAUUAUUUCUAAACUGAUGAAGCAGCUGCAAGAAAAGAGAAAAAGACGUUUGUAAUUAGUAAACCAAGAGCGGGAAAUGACCCUAGUAUCCAGUGACCGUGAAAUAAAUAUAAAGAACCCAAACCAAAUAGAAAAUAAUGGGGAAUCAGAUUAAAACAAACUCGAAAUCAAUGCUGUAAAAUAAUGCUGUAAAUCUUAAAUUAUUUUUCACUAAACUGGAAGAAAUUGGUUAAUUAUUUGCUUCCAUAAUAAAACUUGUGAAAAAUACAAGUCUUCGUUUAAAUAACCAUUUUGGUUUGAUUCUUAU